UCUUUUUCAUGAAUAAAGAAAGUGGUUUCUUGAGAUGGAAACUACUCCUGGUGAAGAUGCUGUGAA
rnacentral:pre_miRNA from 3 species